rnacentral:rRNA from 1 species
CCUACGGGAGGCAGCAGUGAGGAAUAUUGGUCAAUGGACGAGAGCCUGAACCAGCCAAGUAGCGUGAAGGAUGACUGCCCUAUGGGUUGUAAACUUCUUUUAUAUGGGAAUAAAAUGUUCCACGUGUGGGAUUUCGUAUGUACCAUAUGAAUAAGGAUCGGCUAACUCCGUGCCAGCCGCCGCGGUAAUACGGAGGAUCCGAGCGUUAUCCGGAUUUAUUGGGUUUAAAGGGAGCGUAGGUGGGUUGUUAAGUCAGUUGUGAAAGUUUGCGGCACAACCGUAAAACUGCAGUUGAAACUGGCAGUCUUGAGUACAGUAGAGGUGGGCGGAAUGCGUGGUGUAGCGGUGAAAUGCUUAGAUAUCACGAAGAACUCCGAUUGCGAAGGCAGUUCACUGGACUGCAACUGACGCUGAGGCUCGAAAGUGUGGGUAUCAAACAGGAUUAGAUACCCUAGUAGUC